rnacentral:rRNA from 1 species
GAUGAACGCUAGCGGCAGGCUUAACACAUGCAAGUCGAGGGGUAUAGUUCUUCGGAACUAGAGACCGGCGCACGGGUGCGUAACGCGUAUGCAAUCUACCUUUUGCAGAGGGAUAGCCCAGAGAAAUUUGGAUUAAUACCUCAUAGUAUAGCAGUUUCGCAUGAAACCACUAUUAAAGUCACAACGGCAAAGGAUGAGCAUGCGUCCCAUUAGCUAGUUGGUAAGGUAACGGCUUACCAAGGCUACGAUGGGUAGGGGUCCUGAGAGGGAGAUCCCCCACACUGGUACUGAGACACGGACCAGACUCCUACGGGAGGCAGCAGUGAGGAAUAUUGGACAAGUGGGCGCAAGCCUGAUCCAGCCAUGCC